rnacentral:rRNA from 1 species
GAUCAAGUGUCUUAAGGGCAUUUAGUGGAUGCCUUGGCAUGCACAGGCGAAGAAGGACGUGAUACGCUGCGAUAAGUUACGGGGAGGUGCGAAUACCCUUUGAUCCGUAAAUUUCCGAAUGGGGCAACCCACCUUUGAUGGCUAGAAAAGCUAAGUUGUUCAGCGAUGGACAAUUUAGGUUUCUAGCUAUCUGAAAUAAGGUAUCUGCACCUGAAUAAAAUAGGGUGUAAGAAGCGAACGCAGGGAACUGAAACAUCUAAGUACCUGUAGGAAAGGACAUCAAUUGAGACUCCGCUAGUAGUGGCGAGCGAACGCGGAUCAGGCCAGUGGCUUAAGAGAGAAAAGUAGAACGAGUUGGAAAGCUCGACCGAAGAGGGUGACAGUCCCGUAAACGUAAAUUGAUCUUAAGUCCUUGAGUAGGGCGGGACACGUGAAAUCCUGUCUGAAUAUGGGUCGACCACGAUCCAAGCCUAAGUACUCGUGCAUGACCGAUAGUGAACCAGUACC